rnacentral:rRNA from 1 species
GAUGAACGCUGGCGGCGUGCCUAACACAUGCAAGUCGAGCGAACGGACGAGAAUUUCGCUUUUCUGUUGUUAGCGGCGGACGGGUGAGUAACACGUAGCUCACCUACCUAUAAGCCUGGGAUAACUUCGAGAAACCGGAGCCAAGACCGGAUGAUAUUUUGAACCGCAUGGUUCUAGAGUGAUUGACGGUCUUUCUGUCACUUAUAGGUGGUUCCGCGCUGCAUUAGCUAGUUGGUAAGGUAACGGCUUACCAAGGCAACGAUGCAGAGGCGACCUGAGAGGGUGAUAGGCGACACUGGAACUGAGACACGGACCAGACUCCUACGGGAGGCAGCAGUAGGGGAUCGUCCGCAAUGGGCGAAAGCCUGACGGAGCAGCGGCGAGUGAGUGAUGAAGGUGUUCGGAUCGUAAAACUCUGUUACUAGGGAAGAACAUAUGUGUAAGUAACUGUGCAGAUCUUGACGGUACCUAAUCAGAAAGCAACGGCUAACUACGUG